rnacentral:lncRNA from 1 species
GAGAUUGACGACGUGAAAUACUGAAGCAUAAAAAAUGGGAGCUAAUUGUGGGAAGAAAUGUAAAUCAAGCAAGAAGCAACAAAGAAAAGAGAUAUAUAUGAUAAGGUUUGUGCAAAGACUUAGAAACCUAUUUAAUAAGAACAGAGUUGUACCUUUUAGUGAACCUUCUGUAUCAAAUGUUAUAAGUAACACAACAAUAAUUUCUCAAAAUAAUCAGAAUAAGAGCAGACGUCUCUCCAUGGAAGAAAGGAAGUGUCAAACGGCUUUGAACAAGCCUUGUAUCGAUUUAAAUCCAACACCACUUCUUAAUAACGUUGAAUUCAUCAACGAUGACCUACCUUCCGCCAAAGAUAACAUGAAUCGAUUACGUGACUUCCAAUGAAA